AACGAACGCUGGCGGCAUGCCUAACACAUGCAAGUCGAACGAGACCUUCGGGUCUAGUGGCGCACGGGUGCGUAACGCGUGGGAAUCUGCCCUUUGCUUCGGAAUAACACAGAGACAUUUGUGCUAAUACCGGAUAAUGUCGUAAGACCAAAGAUUUAUCGGCAAAGGAUGAGCCCGCGUAAGAUUAGCUUGUUGGUGGGGUAAUGGCCUACCAAGGCGACGAUCUUUAGCUGGUCUGAGAGGAUGAUCAGCCACACUGGGACUGAGACACGGCCCAGACUCCUACGGGAGGCAGCAGUGGGGAAUAUUGGACAAUGGGCGAAAGCCUGAUCCAGCAAUGCCGCGUGAGUGAUGAAGGCCUUAGGGUUGUAAAGCUCUUUUACCAGGGAUGAUAAUGACAGUACCUGGAGAAUAAGCUCCGGCUAACUCCGUGCCAGCCGCCGCAGUAA
rnacentral:rRNA from 1 species